rnacentral:lncRNA from 1 species
GGACUUCAUUUCAAUGAAGCGGUUCUCCACGAUGUCAAUAUGGCCCACGCUGUGCUUGCCUGCGACUUCAUUCAGCCACACGAGGAUGCAGGAGGUGUCCAGGCCGGCACUGUAGGCCAGAACCAUGGAGCCUUUGCUGAACAUAGCAUCUGGGAUUGGAGGUGCAAUUCCUGGUGCCUGGAAUCUGUCUUCAUGGCUCAGUGAACCACUCGGGGCCUGGGGAGCAAAGGCAGGCAACAGAGCAGGGCCCACGUCUUUCUUAUUGAUCACUAAACGAAGGCAGACAUCAACAUUUCUGGAUUCAGGGUCCAGAGUGCUCACCAUUACACCAUGGAACCUCAAACCAGACAUCAACGUCUCUAAUGAGUCUUUCUUUAUUCCAAUAAAAGAAAAUGAAUCGAUAACAUAGACAACAUCAUCGAUGGUUAUGGAUGUCUCAG